rnacentral:rRNA from 4 species
ACGGUUGACCUCGGAUCAGGUAGGAAUACCCGCUGAACUUAAGCAUAUCAAUAAGCGGAGGAAAAGAAACCAACAGGGAUUGCCUUAGUAACGGCGAGUGAAGCGGCAACAGCUCAAAUUUGAAAUCUGGCUC